AACGAACGCUGGCGGCAGGCCUAACACAUGCAAGUCUAACGCCCUAGCAAUAGGGAGUGGCAGACGGGUGAGUAACACGUGGGAACGUGCCCUUCGGUUCGGAAUAACUCAGGGAAACUUGAGCUAAUACCGGAUACGUGCGAGAGCAGAAAGAUUUAUCGCCGAAGGAUCGGCCCGCGUCCGAUUAGCUAGUUGGUGAGGCAAUGGCUCACCAAGGCGACGAUAGGUAGCUGGUCUGAGAGGAUGACCAGCCAUACUGGGACGGAAACACGGCGACGACGCCUACGGGAGACAGCAGUGGGGAAUAUUGGACCAUGGGCGCAAGCCUGAUCCAGCCAUGCCACGUGAGUGAUGAAGGCCCUAGGGUUGUAAAGCUCUUUCGCCAGGGACGAUAAUGACGGUACCUGGAUAAGAAGCCCCGGCUAACUUCGUGCCAGCCGCCGCCGUAA
rnacentral:rRNA from 1 species